rnacentral:rRNA from 1 species
GAUGAACGCUGGCGGCGUGCCUAAUACAUGCAAGUCGAGCGAACAGACGAGGAGCUUGCUCCUCUGACGUUAGCGGCGGACGGGUGAGUAACACGUGGAUAACCUACCUAUAAGACUGGGAUAACUUCGGAAAACCGGAGCUAAUACCGGAUAAUAUAUUGAACCGCAUGGUUCAAUAGUGAAAGACGGUUUUGCUGUCACUUAUAGAUGGAUCCGCGCCGCAUUAGCUAGUUGGUAAGGUAACGGCUUACCAAGGCAACGAUGCGUAGCCGACCUGAGAGGGGGAACGGCCACACUGGAACUGAGACACGGUCCAGACUCCUACGGGAGGCAGCAGUAGGGAAUCUUCCGCAAUGGGCGAAAGCCUUACGGAGCAACGCCGCGGGAGUGAUGAAGGUCUUCGGAUCGUAAAACUCUGUUAUUAGGGAAGAACAAAUGUGUAAGUAACUAUGCACGUCUUGACGGUACCUAAUCAGAAAGCCACGGCUAACUACGUG